GGCGGCGUGCUUAACACAUGCAAGUCGAACGAUGAACCGGUUUCGGCCGGGGAUUAGUGGCGAACGGGUGAGUAACACGUGGGCAAUCUGCCCUGCACUCUGGGACAAGCCCUGGAAACGGGGUCUAAUACCGGAUACGACGCGUUCCCGCAUGGGAUACGUGUGGAAAGCUCCGGCGGUGCAGGAUGAGCCCGCGGCCUAUCAGCUUGUUGGUGGGGUGAUGGCCUACCAAGGCGACGACGGGUAGCCGGCCUGAGAGGGCGACCGGCCACACUGGGACUGAGACACGGCCCAGACUCCUACGGGAGGCAGCAGUGGGGAAUAUUGCACAAUGGGCGCAAGCCUGAUGCAGCGACGCCGCGUGAGGGAUGACGGCCUUCGGGUUGUAAACCUCUUUCAGCAGGGAAGAAGCGUGAGUGACGGUACCUGCAGAAGAAGCGCCGGCUAACUACGUGCCAGCAGCCGCGGUAAUACGUAGGGCGCGAGCGUUGUCCGGAAUUAUUGGGCGUAAAGAGCUCGUAGGCGGCUUGUCACGUCGGGUGUGAAAGACCGGGGCUUAACUCCGGUUCUGCAUUCGAUACGGGCUAGCUAGAGUUCGGUAGGGGAGAUCGGAAUUCCUGGUGUAGCGGUGAAAUGCGCAGAUAUCAGGAGGAACACCGGUGGCGAAGGCGGAUCUCUGGGCCGAUACUGACGCUGAGGAGCGAAAGCGUGGGGAGCGAACAGGAUUAGAUACCCUGGUAGUCCACGCCGUAAACGGUGGGCACUAGGUGUGGGCAACAUUCCACGUUGUCCGUGCCGCAGCUAACGCAUUAAGUGCCCCGCCUGGGGAGUACGGCCGC
rnacentral:rRNA from 1 species